rnacentral:rRNA from 1 species
GACGAACGCUGGCGGCGUGCUUAACACAUGCAAGUCGAACGGACAGACCCUGCUUUUGUUGGUUUCUCGAGUGGCGCACGGGUGAGUGACACGUGUGUAACCUGCCCUUGUCUUUGGGAUAACUUCAGGGAACUGGGGCUCAUACCGGAUAGGAGCUACUGCUGCAUGUUGUUGGUUGGAAAGUUUCGGCCGUUGGGGAUGGACUCGAGGCUUAUCAGCUUGUUGGUGGGGUAGUGGCUUUCCAAGUCUUUGACGGGUAGCCGGCCUGAGAGGGUGACCGGCCACCUUGGGACUGAGGUACGGCCCAGACUGCUACGGGAGGCAGCAGUGGGGAAUAUUGCAGAAUGGGCGGAAGCCUGAUGCAGCAACGCCGCGUGCGUGAUGACGGCCUUCGGGGUAUAAACCGCUUUCGCAUGUGACGAAGCGGGAGUGACGGUAAUGGGUAAAGAAGCACCGGCUAACUACGUG